CUUACACAUGCAGUCGAACGGUGAAGCAGAGCUUGCUCUGUGGAUCAGUGGCGAACGGGUGAGUAACACGUGAGCAAUCUGCCCCUGACUCUGGGAUAAGCGCUGGAAACGGCGUCUAAUACCGGAUACGAGCUGCGAAGGCAUCUUCAGCAGUUGGAAAGAAUUUCGGUCAGGGAUGAGCUCGCGGCCUAUCAGCUUGUUGGUGAGGUAAUGGCUCACCAAGGCGUCGACGGGUAGCCGGCCUGAGAGGGUGACCGGCCACACUGGGACUGAGACACGGCCCAGACUCCUACGGGAGGCAGCAGUGGGGAAUAUUGCACAAUGGGCGGAAGCCUGAUGCAGCAACGCCGCGUGAGGGAUGACGGCCUUCGGGUUGUAAACCUCUUUUAGCAGGGAAGAAGCGAAAGUGACGGUACCUGCAGAAAAGGCGCCGGCUAACUACGUGCCAGCAGCCGCGGUAAUACGUAGGGCGCAAGCGUUAUCCGGAAUUAUUGGGCGUAAGAGCUCGUAGGCGGUCUGUCGCGUCUGCUGUGAAAUCCCGAGGCUCAACCUCGGGUCUGCAGUGGGUACGGGCAGACUAGAGUGCGGUAGGGGAGAUUGGAAUUCCUGGUGUAGCGGUGGAAUGCGCAGAUAUCAGGAGGAACACCGAUGGCGAAGGCAGAUCUCUGGGCCGUAACUGACGCUGAGGAGCGAAAGGGUGGGGAGCAAACAGGCUUAGAUACCCUGGUAGUCCACCCCGUAAACGUUGGGAACUAGUUGUGGGGUCCAUUCCACGGAUUCCGUGACGCAGCUAACGCAUUAAGUUCCCCGCCUGGGGAGUACGGCCGCAAGGCUAAAACUCAAAGGAAUUGACGGGGACCCGCACAAGCGGCGGAGCAUGCGGAUUAAUUCGAUGCAACGCGAAGAACCUUACCAAGGCUUGACAUAUACGAGAACGGGCUAGAAAUAGUCAACUCUUUGGACACUCGUAAACAGGUGGUGCAUGGUUGUCGUCAGCUCGUGUCGUGAGAUGUUGGGUUAAGUCCCGCAACGAGCGCAACCCUCGUUCUAUGUUGCCAGCACGUAAUGGUGGGAACUCAUGGGAUACUGCCGGGGUCAACUCGGAGGAAGGUGGGGAUGACGUCAAAUCAUCAUGCCCCUUAUGUCUUGGGCUUCACGCAUGCUACAAUGGCCGGUACAAAGGGCUGCAAUACCGCGAGGUGGAGCGAAUCCCAAAAAGCCGGUCCCAGUUCGGAUUGAGGUCUGCAACUCGACCUCAUGAAGUCGGAGUCGCUAGUAAUCGCAGAUCAGCAACGCUGCGGUGAAUACGUUCCCGGGUCUUGUACACACCGCCCGUCAAGUCAUGAAAGUCGGUAACACCUGAAGCCGGUGGCCCAACCCUUGUGGAGGGAGCCGUCGAAG
rnacentral:rRNA from 1 species